AAUGAACAAAAUACUCCUUUGAAAGACUCAGAUUGUCAGAGUGUCUGGGCCACUCAAGUCGGUUGGGCGUCCGACUCCGGCUCAGGUCAUGAUUUCGGGUUCGUGAGUUCGAGCCCCGCAUUGGGCUCUGUGCUGACAACUCAGAGCCUGGAGCCUGCUUCAGAUUCUGUGUCUCCCUCUCUCUCUGCCCCUCCCCUACUCUCUCGCUCUCUCUCGCUCGCUCUCUCUCAAAGAUAAAUAAACAUUAAAAAAAAAACCCACCUAUACAGUAUCUCUAGAAACACAUCUUAAAAACAUUAGGAUAUCGGAAGAUAAAAGGAUGGAAAAAAGAACCACACUAUAGUAACGUUAGACGAAAUAGACUCUGGAUCAUAUGGUAAUUUCAGUAAAAUUGCUGAAGAGUAAAUAUUUGAUUAACCAGGAAUAAAUAACAGUUUGAAAUUUCUAUGCAUCUAGUAAAACACCUUAAAAUAUAGAAAGCAAAUAUUUCUAGAACUAUCAGGAGAAAUUGGCAAGCUUUACAAUUAUAAUGGGAGAUUUAAAAAUACCUCUCAGAAGAAACAAAAAAGUCAGUAAUAGUAUAGAAGAUUUGAAUAAUCCAAGUAACCAAGUCAACCUAUUGGACAUUACGUAGAACGUAAUGCACAUGAUAAUUGCAAAGUCAAGUCUCUUCAGGGCUUCUGAAACAUUUACAUGGUUUGGCCAUGCGCUAGACCAUAAAGUAAGUGCCAGUAAAUACCAGGGACUGAAAAAGAGUGUGCUCUCUGGCUACAAUUCAGAUAACCAGAAAUCAGCAAUGGAAAGAUACAUAGGAAAUUCCUGUGUUUGGAAAUAAACGUCUCAAUAAACAGUGAGUGAAAGAAGAAGUCAUAUAAUGAAAACUAGAAGGUAGGUUUCAGUUAAGGAAUGAUAAUGAAAACCCUCCACAUCAAAACUUGAGGGAUGCUGUUUAGAGCUUUGUAAACGUAAAUGGAUAGCCUUAAGUUCCUAUGUCAUAAAAAUGAAACAAAAUUAAUGAGCAGUUAAUUAAUGCAAGUUAGAAGAAAAAAUAAUCCAAAAGAAGUACAAGAAGUGUGGAAACUACUGAAAUAACAAAUAUACAAUAAGAAGGAUCAACAAAGCCAAAAGAUUCUUGAAGAAAUAUAAUAAAGUUGAUAAACCCCUGAUGAAACUGACAAAGCGAAAAAAGUGAAAAGACAUAAGAUAAAGAACAGUUUUCAGAAAGGAAAUGUCACUACAAAUCUUACAGUCAUUGAAAAGGUGAGAGGACAUUGCUAAUGACUUCAAUACAAAUUUUUGAUUAAAUGAGCAACUUCCUAGGACAAUUCAACUUAACAAAAACAGACUCUGGAAGAUAUAGAAAGUCUCAGUCGUUUUUGUAUUUAUUAAAGAAAUUGAAUCAUAAACUCUUUCCACAAAAUAAAAUCUAGGCUCAGAUGGCUAUAUUAAUGAAUUCCUCAAACAUUUAAAAGGAAUUAGGAGGAAUAUCAGUUUUAAGUUUUCCAGAGAAGUGAGUAUAGUCAUGAGACCGAAACCAGACCAAUGACAUUACAAGAAUAGAAAAUUACGACAUUACAAGAAUGGAAAAUUACAGACCAAUCUCAUGAACAUGGAUGCAAAAAUUAUUUUAAAGAUAUUAGCAGACUGAGUCUGACAAUUUGUAGAAAGAAUAAUAGCUUAUGGCCAAAGUGACCUUAUUCCAGGAAUGAAAGUUUUAUUUAACAUUUGAAAAUCAGUAUAAUUUACUAUAUGAAUAGGACAAUGGAGAAAAAUUAUCUUAUUAUUUCAGUAGAUGCAGAAGCAGUUGAUAAAAUUCGCCACUCAUGUGAUAAAAUUCUGAACAGACGAGAAGUAGAAUGUCAGAUCUUUUCUUCUUCAUGAGAACUCUCAUGAUCUUGAGAUUUUAUUGUACUUGGAAACUAACAACUUGCCACAAUUUCAUUAAUGCUGGCAAAAGACAUGAGCCUCCUGGGACAGAGACAAAAGAGUUUUUUCCCACAGCAAUAGCAGUAGCCAAGAAUGUUAUUUUCUUGCCUAGUUCUUUGAGCCUCAGUUCUCAUAAAGCAACCCAAUGAGGGCCCGGUGAUGCCUCACAUACAGUGAGUUACAUUACAGGAAGAACCCCGAGCUUAGGGAACCCAGAUAUUUUAUUAUGGGCUACAGGCAAACCUGCCAGACCUUUGUCAUGGAGGGAGACGUCUUUGUUAUGCUGGACAUGUUCGUCUUAAAAGUAAUAAUUUUCAUAUAGGUGUUCAUUACUAAACCGGCUUGUGGAUCUACCUUUAUGACACUAGCUGAGAUGCUUCAUAGCGAAUAGAUUUAACAUCUCACUUAAGUGAUCUGUUCAAGACAUGGCCACAUCUUUACCACGAGGACAAUCUGGUUUUCUCUGUUAAGUGGCCCAUUUCUGCUUUGAUGUAGUAGUAGAGUUUAGUGAUGAUAGAAUUUAAUGGUAAAUGAGUGGUUUUGAUAUUCUUUUUUAUGAUAAAUGAAUUUAGUGACAGUAACUGGUUUAGUAGUAGAGUGUACUGAUAAGUAGCUACAGUAGUGCCCCCUUAUCUGCAGGAAGUACCUUCCAAGAUCCUAGUGGACGCCUGAAACCACACACAGUACCAAACCCUACACGUAUACUGUGUUUUUUCCUAUUCAUACGGACUUAUGAUAAAGUUUACUCUGCAUUAGGCACAGAAAGAGAUUAACAACAAUCUAAUAAUAAAACAAUUAUAACAGUAUGGUGUAAUGAAGGUUAUAUGAAUGUGGUCCUCCUCUCAAAUUAUCCUACCCUGUACCUAGCCUUCUUGUGAUGACGAGACGGUAAAAUGCCCAUGUGAUGAGAUGGAGGGAGGUGAGUGACAUAGGCACUGGGACGUAGCAUGAGGCUGCCACUGACCUGGCAGUGCUUCAGGAGCAUCCUCUGCUCCUGGCCCGUGGUUGACCACACUUGACCACUGGUAAUGAAACCUCGGGAAGUGAGACCGCAGAUGGGGGGGGAGGGGGCCUACUGUCUAUACUGCUCUGGAAUAUCGGAUUUGGCGUAAUCCAUAUGUUUUAUUGUUUAUUUCUCCCUUCUUUUCUUGCCCUAUAUAGAAUUUCCUUGGAAAGCAGGAGUUCCCUCCUACAGAGAAUGUUCUACAACACUUAGGAAAAACACUGUGGUAGUGGCAAGACUGUGGGAUUAAAUAGGCUCAGUUUGAUGGCAUUUUCCACGUGCGAAUUAGCCUACCAGUGUAGUGUCUGUGUGGAAUACACAUGGAGGGGAAGGCUGACCAUCAAGCUACUGGAUUUCAAAAGUCUUGUCUUUUAAGGGAUUUGGGGUUUAUUCCGUAUAGUAAUUUGUCUCCAGGUAUCACCAGAUCAUCCCAAAUGUCUAGCAGGAAUUAGGUUUCAGAAUGUAAAAAAAAAAAAAUUAAAAGGUUUCUUAAAUGAAACUUGAAUCAUUGCUUUUGGCCAUACAUCAAAUUAGUAGAACCUGAGAAUUGUGGAGAUUUCUUCCCAUAUGUUAAAUCACGUGGUCAUUUACAUUAAAAGGCUGCAUUCAAGAAUAAAAAAAAUCAAAUCAAAUCAAAGGCUGCAUUCAGAGUUAACAGCGCAUAAAGUUGAAACAUGGACCAGAUACUCUUUUCAACGUGCUGGUGACAAUAAGAAGCUUACCUCAGGUCAUUUGUUUCCAAAAUGAUUUGACGAAGCGGAGUCCCCUUCUAGAAUACAGAGCAAAUUACGACAUUUGGUUUGGGAAAAUAUAGAAAGGGUCGCUUGAUGUUACGAGUGUCAGGUGUUUUAAAUAAAGAUGUUCUGUUCAGAAACUAAAGGUAAAGCUCAGAUGACGUUCAUAGACCAAAAAGGCUUUCAGCCACGAUCACACGAUCACUGCUGCCAAUAAGCGUGUUGACUCACAUGGUCAUUUGUACUAAAAGGGCUGCUUCAGAUCAUGUGGGCAUCCUCUGCUCACAGUCACCUUUCGUUCCCACUGUAUUGUUGGAACAACAAGGAGCACUUGAGCCAUGUCAACUAGAAUAUGCAAAUAAUUACGCUUGGAGAUCACCAGAGAUCUGGAAUGUUGUAAGACUGUCACCAAAACGUGGGACCAGAAAUUCCGGGUCGGCUCUGCCUGACACCAGUGUUAAUUCUCGUCCACGGAGAUAAUACGUGUAACUGAGAAACUGAGUAGAAUCAAGAGUUUCUUUUUAAAGGAAUAGUUCUCAGCCUGCGUUCUGUGUAUAUGAACUUACAGCUUUUUCACCGUAUCAUCGUUACUUAUUACAAAGUAUUUACCUGGCACAUAGAAUGUUUAAAGAGUGUUAGCUCCUGUGGUCAGCAGCGUAAUGACCCUCCACACUGUCCCGUCCUCACCCCCAAACAUGUGAAUGUGUCACUUGGCAAAGGGGAUUCAGGUUGCAGAAGUAAGAUUGCCACACAGCUGACCUUGAGACUGGAAGAUGAUGCUGGAUUAUCUGGGUGGGCAAAAGAGAAAACCAGAGAAAGAGCCAUUUCUAGAAGCAUCCCUACCUGCUCUUGCUGGCUUUGAAGAUGGAAGAAGGGGGCUGGAGCCGAAGAAUGGGGGUGUGGCCUCUAGACGUUAGAAAAGGCGAGGAAACGGAUUGUCCCCUGGAGCUUCCAGAAGGAAUGUAGGCCUGCCGACAUCUUGAUUUCAGCCUCGUGAGACCUGUGUCCGACCUUGAUCUCCAGAAGUAUAAGAUAAUAAAUUUGUAUUGUUUAAAUCA